CAAGGGAGUGGAAGGAACCAAAAAAAUGGUUGUUGGGAAACCAUUGGCGGCAGCACGCCUAUCCAUUUCAUGGAAUCCGUGGAAUCUGAAUGUUAAGCCAAUUCCACUUACCACAUUCAACUUCGCUCUUCGGUUGCAACCACCAACUUACCUCAAUCUCCAUGUUAGAGCAUCUUGUUUUCCCGCUUCUUCCCCUCUUCCCCAGAACGAUGAUCUCCAAGCUCUCUUACAGAUUCUUCCAUCCGAUUUGCAUGACAAUCUCCUCAAUGAACCGGACAGGGCUCAACUCUUAGAGGUUAUAUUGGAUUUGGGUCGUUUGCCAGAGGCACGUUAUCUUGGUAAAGAAGGAGGGCAAUAUAUAAGGGAGUCUGAGGUAACUGUGAAAGAGCUGGAAUAUGCUCAACAAGCUGUUGGAGAGUUCGGCAGGGACAAUAGAGCCGGCAUCGAGGGUACAUUGCACAGAAUAUCUGCAAUACGGAGUAGGAAAGGUGGCAUAGUUGGCUUGACAUGCCGCGUUGGAAGGGCAGUAAGUGGCCAGAUUGACAUGGUUUAUGACCUGCUUCAAUACUGGAAGAGCAUUUUAUUUGUGGGAAGGCCUGGGGUUGGUAAGACUACUGUUAUACGAGAGAUUGCUCGUGUACUGUCAGAUGAAUUUCACAAGAGAGUGGUAAUUGUUGAUACCAGCAAUGAAAUCGGAGGUGAUGGCAAUAUUCCGCAUGCUGCAAUAGGGAGUGCACGAAGGAUGCAGGUACCUGAGCCAUCAAUGCAACAUAGAGUGAUGCUUGAGGCAGUAGAAAAUCAUAUGCCUCAGGUGAUUAUAGUUGAUGAGAUUGGCACAGAAGCCGAAGCUCAUGCUUGCCGAUCAAUUGCUGAGAGGGGAAUCAUGCUUAUUGGGACUGCUCAUGGACAACAGCUUGAGAAUAUCAUGAAGAAUCGAACACUCUCAGAUCUGAUUGGUGGAAUAGGAGCUGUUACUCUGGGAGAUGCAGAAGCUAGAGCAAGAAAUUGUCAAAAGACAAUUCUUGAAAGGAAAGCUCCUCCAACAUUUGAUUUCCUGAUCGAGAUGAGAGACAGAUACUACUGGCUUACACAUCAGACAGACAAAAGUGUUGAUAUGUUGCUUAGAGGCAAAAUUCCUCAAGUUGAGGUAAGAAAAAGAGAUGAAAAAUGCAAGGUUGUGAUAGAAAAAUCCAAAGCAUAUGAUAAAUGUCAAUUUUAAUUUUCUUUUUGAGGGAUUAUUGUGUUGACAUUUUCAAAUAUUGAAGGACAAAUUUGGUAACCAACAUCUUUAGAAGAUUAACGAGGUUUAGAAGGCAAAUAUUGGAUUGAGGGAAUGAAGAAAAAGCAUGUAAAAAUGGAGAACUCAUGAAGAAAUGAAGGAAUUGCAAAGCUAUCAAUCCUGACCUCUUUGUACUUAAUCGAUCAUAACUUGAGCUACAAAGGUCCAAAUAAGGCGGUUUUAGUUGCGUUGGAAAGCUAACAUCUGGGGCUUUAAAAUGAUAUAAAAUUUUCCAUAUUUUCCUGGCGUUUAGGGACGCGUACACGUCGUUUCACGUGCACUCAUCGCAGGAUCAGUAUGGGCCAUUUUUAGCAACUCGUGGCCAGUGAUUUCUGGCUCAUUUUGGGCCAAAUCUAACUCAUUUCUGAUUCUAUGAACCCAAAGAUUGAAGGAGGAUGAACCAAGUAGUGUUAGUUUUAGUUUUUACUAUGCUUUAGGUAGAAUUCUAGAGAGAGAAGCUCUCUCUUCUCUCUAGAAAUUAGGUUAGGUUUAGCUUAGGAUUUUCGUAGAUCUAGUUUUAAUUUCUUGUUUUCAACUUGUCUUCCUU